rnacentral:rRNA from 1 species
GACGAACCGUGCGAACGUUGUUCGGAAUCACUGGGCUUAAAGGGCGCGUAGGCGGGCUGCCAAGUCCGUAGGUGAAAUCCCCCGGCUCAACCGGGGAACGGCCUCGGAUACUGGCGGCCUGGAGGGGGGUAGGGGCGUGCGGAACUGUGGGUGGAGCGGUGAAAUGCGUUGAGAUCCACAGGAACUCCGGUGGCGAAGGCGGCACGCUGGACCCUUUCUGACGCUGAGGCGCGAAAGCCAGGGGAGCAAACGGG